UAGGAAUUGGGCAUAUCUCACUCGCUGGGUUAGGGGUGGGUAGGUGGGCAGGGGUACCUUUGCAGAAUUUGAGAUCCAGUGGGUUAGGUCCUCUGUGUGGACUCCCUGUAGAUAUUGGGGAAUGAGCUUGGGAUGGCUGGUCUCAGCGAGACCGGGGUGGGUUGGACAUUUUCGGCUUAGGUACUCCUGGUACCUGUGGAGGCGGAAGUGUGAACUUCCUCCCUGUGGGGUGCAUUCCCCGAGUCGACCCACUCUAUGGCUUGCUAAUCGGUCUGUUGGUGUUGGCGCAUAGCCGGGUAGUAGUGCAAUGAAGC